GACCGUGUGUUCUACACAUGAAUUUGCGCAUAGCCCUCUCCAUCCCCAUCAGUGUUGGUGCCGUGUUUACAAAAUUUUCCUUUGUUUGCUGUUAGAACUGUCAUAUUUUUCUUGUUUGCUGUUAGAAAACAACAAACAAUCCGUUGAUACACUAAGAAAAAUAUCGCAAUUUUUAACUAGACAUCAGGUGAAAAUGAAAAUUUUCAUUUUGAUUCAGUGUGCAGCGAAAAAAAAAUACUCUGUGAUAGUGUUGGUAAAAUCUGUUUAGAGACCUCAAUGUUGUCAAUACAAAUCAAUAUCACGUGUAAAACAGAUGACAUGGCUCAUUCAAAACUGAGCAUUUUUUUAUAAACAAACCACACGGUAUUAACGUGUAAAGCAAAUCGAAUUCGGUUGCUCGACUUGUCAUAGUCGCUUGUUUGAUAUAUGAUAUCUAAGAAUAAUUGUGUUGAUUUUCAUUUGAAUUGUGAGUGAAUUUCGUGUUUUCUUUCACAUUUUAAUAAUGAUAAUGAUUGCAUAUCCGUCCGGAUUCCGAUUUCCGUCAUCGGAUCGAAAUCCAUUUCAAGAAACAUAGUUUUCCUAUAACUUCGACGAAUCAACGGUGGAAGUAUAGAAAAACGUCUCGUUGGUUUUCGAACCUCUGACGGAAAUUGAUAUCCGGACAGAUAGAAAAAAAAAUCAAGUUGGUAAAAAUGUAAUAUCCACAGUGGGAGGUUGCAUUUAUUAUUUUAAAAGAAGUUGAACCACGCCAACUAAUACUAUUUUACGAGCUGAGGCCGGCGAUUUUGUCUUCGAACAGAUCACAAAAAAAUCAAGUUACCUACAUCUAAAGAGCUGCUGCCGGAGAACAUGAUCGGUUCGGUGCUUAUUCCUGCUAGCAAGAAGCCGCCACGAAGUACAUACGUCGCAAAGGAUAGUCGGAAGAGGCCAGUAUUGACGAUGCGUCUUCGCCGUUUUGAGUAUAAUUCCAUCUUAUUUGAUCCUGCUGCUGCUAAAGCAGGAAGGGAACAUGCAAUCAAUUAGAAAAAGUACCAAAUUAGUAUGCUCUGAUGCGAUUCAACAUAAACGAGGAGCCACAGCAGGUCAGCUAGAUUUUCCAGAGCAAGAAAAUUUAUUUUAAAAUAUUAAUAUAUAUGUAUUAAAUUAAUGGGAUUCAACCGUAUAACGAAAGUCGUAUUCCGGAUAGAUUAAAUUAAACGAAAACAAAUUAUUAAAAAGAAGUAAAAAAUCUA